rnacentral:tRNA from 1 species
GAUUAAAUGGCUGAAGAUUAGGCGAUAGACUGUAAAUUUAUUUAUAAGAUUGAUUCUUUUUAAUCA